rnacentral:piRNA from 1 species
UGCCAAGUCCACAGUUUGACUAUGCGA